rnacentral:rRNA from 1 species
GACGAACGCUGGCGGCGUGCUUAACACAUGCAAGUCGAACGGAAAGGCCCUGCUUUUGUGGGGUGCUCGAGUGGCGAACGGGUGAGUAACACGUGAGUAACCUGCCCUUGACUUUGGGAUAACUUCAGGAAACUGGGGCUAAUACCGGAUAGGAGCUCCUGCUGCAUGGUGGGGGUUGGAAAGUUUCGGCGGUUGGGGAUGGACUCGCGGCUUAUCAGCUUGUUGGUGGGGUAGUGGCUUACCAAGGCUUUGACGGGUAGCCGGCCUGAGAGGGUGACCGGCCACAUUGGGACUGAGAUACGGCCCAGACUCCUACGGGAGGCAGCAGUGGGGAAUAUUGCACAAUGGGCGGAAGCCUGAGGCAGCAACGCCGCGUGCGGGAUGACGGCCUUCGGGUUGGAAACCGCUUUCGCCUGUGACGAAGCGUGAGUGACGGUAAUGGGGAAAGAAGCACCGGCGAACUACGU